GACGAACGCUGGCGGCGUGCUUAACACAUGCAAGUCGAACGGAAAGGCCCUGCUUUUGUGGGGUGCUCGAGUGGCGAACGGGUGAGUAACACGUGAGUAACCUGCCCUUGACUUUGGGAUAACUUCAGGAAACUGGGGCUAAUACCGGAUAGGAGCUCCUGCUGCAUGGUGGGGGUUGGAAAGUUUCGGCGGUUGGGGAUGGACUCGCGGCUUAUCAGCUUGUUGGUGGGGUAGUGGCUUACCAAGGCUUUGACGGGUAGCCGGCCUGAGAGGGUGACCGGCCACAUUGGGACUGAGAGACGGCGCAGACGCCUACGGGAGGCAGCAGGGGGGAAUAUGGCACAGUGGGCGGAAGCCUGAUGCAGCAACGCCGCGUGCGGGAUGACGGCCUUCGGGUUGUAAACCGCUUUCGCCUGUGACGAAGCGUGAGUGACGGUAAUGGGUAAAGAAGCACCGGCUAACUACGUG
rnacentral:rRNA from 1 species